CGGGGUGCGUAAUGCGUAGGAAUCUGCCUAGUAUGGGGGACAACUUGGGGAAACUCAAGCAAUACCGCAUACGCCCUACGGGGGAAAAACGGGGGGAUCUUUUGACCUCGUGCUAUUAGAUGAGCCUACGUUAGAUUAGCUUGUUGGUGAGGUAAUGGCUCACCAAGGCGACGAUCUAUAGCUGGUCUGAGAGGAUGAUCAGCCACACUGGGACUGAGACACGGCCCAG
rnacentral:rRNA from 1 species